ACAACAUGCUGGAGGAAGUCAGCAGGCCAGGCAGCAUCAAUGGAAAAAAGUUCUUAUCAGUUUAAUAUCUGAUAUGUCCCCUAUCUGGGGACCAUAUAUUAAAUUGAUUUUUGGAACAGGGAGAUGGAAUAGGGGCUUGCUCCGUCCACUCCAUGCAUUGACCCGGUAUUGCAGUGCUUCCGGGACCGGUGCACAAAAA